CCGGCCCGUCAACGACGCUCAUGCUCGAAGGCGCGGGUAUCAAACAGGAUUAGAUACCCUGGUAGUCCGCGCAGUAAACGAUGGACACUCGCGGUUUGGCCCUUUUGGCUGAGCCGCCCAGCGAAAGCGUUAAGUGUCCCACCUGGGGAGUACGCCGGCAACGGUGAAACUCAAAGGAAUUGACGGGGGCCCGCACAAGCGGAGGAACAUGUGGUUUAAUUCGAUGAUACGCGAGGAACCUUACCCGGGCUUGAAAUGUGCAUGACGGGAGGCAGAGACGCCUCCUUCCUUCGGGCAUGCAUGUAGGUGCUGCAUGGUUGUCGUCAGCUCGUGCCGUGAGGUGUCGGCUUAAGUGCCAUAACGAGCGCAACCCCUUCCGCCGGUUACCAUCGGGUCAUGCCGGGGACUCCGGCGGCACUGCCGCCGCAAGGCGCGAGGAAGGCGGGGAUGACGUCAAAUCAGCACGGCCCUUACGUCCGGGGCCACACACGUGUUACAAUGGGGGGCACAGCGAGCUGGACCAGGGCGACCUGGUUCGAAUCAUGAAAUCUCCUCCCAGUUCGGACUGGAGUCUGCAACCCGACUCCACGAAGCCGGAUU
rnacentral:rRNA from 1 species